rnacentral:rRNA from 1 species
UCGCCUUUAGAGCGGCCCGCGUCUGAUUAGCUUGUUGGUGGGGUAAUGGCCCACCAAGGCUACGAUCAGUAGCUGGUCUGAGAGGAUGACCAGCCACAUUGGGACUGAGACACGGCCCAA